UAGCAAGCAUUUGCUGAAAGGAUCCA
rnacentral:misc_RNA from 1 species